rnacentral:SRP_RNA from 2 species
GCCGGGUGUGGUGGCUCACGCCUGUAAUCCCAGCUACUUGGGAGGCUGAGGUGGGAGGAUCGUUUGAGCACGGGAGUUGCUGAUGAGCCUGGGAAACAUAGUGAGACCCCAUCUCUA